AGGUUGCUGGACUAGUCUGGUUCCUUUCAGGUCUUGGGCUGAAUUUUCUCCUUGUGGAGGCUGCCUGAGCAGAGAGUGUGGAAGGCUAUGUACCUGGUUUGGAUUUUUCAGCGAGUCCUGACAAUGUGGGAUUCAAAAGAUCCGUUGAUGAAUUGCCUUGCUAAACAAGCGAGCCCUGGGAAAAUGAAGCUUAACAAAGUGCUGUGGCGUCAAUUCAGAGCCUGGGAA